AAAAGACCGAAUAUCUGCAUGCGUAGGUAGGUUGGGGAGGUGGAUGGGUCUAACAACACAGGACUUUCACCCAGGAGACCAGGGUUCAUGUCCCCUAAACCCAACCUC